GACGAACGCUGGCGGCAGGCCUAACACAUGCAAGUCGAACGUGAAGCCACCUUCGGGUGGUGGAAAGUGGCAGCCGGGUGAGUAACGCGUGGGAAUCUACCCAAUGGUACGGAAUAACUCAGGGAAACUUGAGCUAAUACCGUAUGUGCCAGAAAGGGGAAAGAUUUAUCGCCAUUGGAUGAGCCAGCGUCUGAUUAGCUAGUUGGUGGGGUAAUGGCCCACCAAGGCCACGAGCAGUAGCUGGUCUGAGAGGAUGAUCAGCCACACUGGGACGAAGACACGGCCCAGACGCAUACGGGAGGCAGCAGUGGGGAAUUUUGGACAUUGGGGGCAACCCUGAUCCAGCCAUGCCGCGGGCGGGAAGAAGGCCUGCGGGUUAUAAACCGCUUUUAGUCGGGAAGAAAAGGCGUCUCCUAAUACGGGGCGUUCUUGACGGUACCGGCGGAAUAAGCACCGGCUAACUACGUGCCAGCCGCCGCCGUAACAC
rnacentral:rRNA from 1 species